UACAGAGGUCUCAAGCGUUGUUCGGAUUCAUUGGGCGUAAAGGGUGCGUAGGCGGCGCGGUAAGUCGGGUGUGAAAUCUCGGAGCUUAACUCCGAAACUGCAUUCGAUACUGCCGUGCUUGAGGACUGGAGAGGAGACUGGAAUUUACGGUGUAGCGGUGAAAUGCGUAGAUAUCAGGAAGAACACCCGUGGCGAAGGCGGCUUUCUGGGACGGUACUGACGCUGAGACGCGAAAGCGUGGGGAGCAAACAGG
rnacentral:rRNA from 1 species